UAGGGAAUCUUCCGCAAUGGGCGAAAGCCUGACGGAGCAACGCCGCGUGAGUGAUGAAGGUCUUCGGAUCGUAAAACUCUGUUAUUAGAGAAGAACAAAUGUGUAAGUAACUAUGCACGUCUUGACGGUACCUAAUCAGAAAGCCACGGCUAACUACGUGCCAGCAGCCGCGGUAAUACGUAGGUGGCAAGCGUUAUCCGGAAUUAUUGGGCGUAAAGCGCGCGUAGGCGGUUUUUUAAGUCUGAUGUGAAAGCCCACGGCUCAACCGUGGAGGGUCAUUGGAAACUGGAAAACUUGAGUGCAGAAGAGGAAAGUGGAAUUCCAUGUGUAGCGGUGAAAUGCGCAGAGAUAUGGAGGAACACCAGUGGCGAAGGCGACUUUCUGGUCUGUAACUGACGCUGAUGUGCGAAAGCGUGGGGAUCAAACAGGA
rnacentral:rRNA from 1 species